UAGGUUGCUUGCAUUAGUAUUCACGAAUAUGUUGCAUUGCAUUUAUGAUGUUGAUGUGGAUUGGUCAUUGGAUGAUCCUUUAGUCCUCAUAUGAUAUGAUGAUGUUAUGGCAUGAUAUGGUAUGGAAGUCCAGGUUGUACCCAUUCUACGUCCCUGGCACGAUGUAAGAGGAAGUCCAGGUUGUACCCAUUCUACGUCCCUGGCACAGUUGGACUGUAUGAUAUGUUAUGUUAAGGGAAAGACCGGUUGUACCCAUUCUACGUCCCGGCACAGUUGGACUAUGUAGAGGACUAUUGGUGACAAUACCAUCCGAGAUGUGAUUUGUUGUGAUGUGUUGCAUUACAUAAUGGC
rnacentral:lncRNA from 1 species